rnacentral:rRNA from 2 species
CGGGGAUCUUCCACAAUGGGCGAAAGCCUGAUGGAGCGACGCCGCGUGAGGGAUGAAGGUCUUCGGAUCGUAAACCUCUGUCUUCCGGGACGACAAUGACGGUACCGGAGGAGGAAGCCACGGCUAACUACGUGCCAGCAGCCGCGGUAAUACGUAGGGGGCGAGCGUUGUCCGGAAUUAUUGGGCGUAAAGGGUUCGCAGGCGGCCGAUUAAGUCAGAUGUGAAAUCCCACGGCUUAACCGUGGUAAGCAUUUGAAACUGAUUGGCUUGAGUUAAGGAGAGGAAAGUGGAAUUCCUAGUGUAGCGGUGAAAUGCGUAGAUAUUAGGAGGAAUACCAGUGGCGAAGGCGACUUUCUGGACUUAUACUGACGCUGAGGAACGAAAGCGUGGGGAGCAAACA